rnacentral:rRNA from 1 species
AUUGAACGCUGGCGGCAGGCCUAACACAUGCAAGUCGAACGAGUGGCGGACGGGUGAGUAAUGUCUGGGAAACUGCCUGCUGGAGGGGGAUAACUACUGGAAACGGUAGCUAAUACCGCAUACCAUCAGAUGUGCCCCGAUGGGAUUAGCUUGUUGGUGGGGUAACGGCUCACCAAGGCGACGAUCCCUAGCUGGUCUGAGAGGAUGACCAGACACACUGUAACUGAGACACGGUCCAGACUCCUACGGGAGUCAGCAGUGGGGAAUAUUGCACAAUGGGGGCAAGCCGGAUGCAGCCAGGCCGAGUGUAUGAAGAAGGCUUUCGGGUUGUAAAGUACUUUCAGCGGGGAGGCGUUACCCGCAGAAGAAGCACCGGCUAACGCCGUGCCAGCCGCCGCGGUAAUUC